rnacentral:rRNA from 1 species
AAUUGCCAUACCACCCUAAAAGUACCCACUCUCUUCCAAUCUUAGAAGCUAAUCAGAGUUGGACCUUCUUGGUACUUGGAGGGGAGAAUACACAUGUCCAAUGGGUACCCCAGUUU